UACGGAGGGUGCAAGCGUUAUCCGGAAUCACUGGGUUUAAAGGGUGCGUAGGCGGCCCAAUAAGUCAGUCGUGAAAUCGCUGGGCUCAACCCAUGCAAUUGCGAUUGAUACUGUUGGACUUGAAUUAGGUUGAGGCUGGCGGAAUGCGACAUGUAGCGGUGAAAUGCUUAGAUAUGUCGCAGAACACCGAUUGCGAAGGCAGCCAGCUGGGCCUCGAUUGACGCUGAGGCACGAAAGCGUGGGGAGCAAACAGG
rnacentral:rRNA from 1 species